GGAGAAACUGGUUUGGAAAUAGUCAUUUUAAUUUCAGUGAUUUCUCAGUCUGCAAUGAAAACUGGCUGCUAAACAUGCAUAACUCAGAACAAGGAAGAUAAAAUAGAUAUACAAUCGGAGAUCACAAGUGCGCUUUUAACAGUUGAACUGACUGAGCUUCAGAUCCAGCUCUAUUCAUUACUGGCUGUGUAAUGUCAGACAAGACCUGAUUUCUU